rnacentral:rRNA from 1 species
GACGAACGCUGGCGGCGUGCCUAAUACAUGCAAGUUGAGCGAUGAAGAUUGGUGCUUUCACCAAUUUGUAGAUCAGCGAACGGGUGAGUAACGCGUGUUCAAUCUGCCUUUGAGCGGGUUACACUAUUUGGAAACGAAUGCUAAUACCGCAUAACAACUUUAAUCUUAAGUUUUAAGUUUGAAAUAUGCUAUUUCAUCACUCAAAUAUGUUCCCGCGUUGUAUUAGCUAGUUGGUGAGGUAAAGGCUCUCCAACGCGAUGAUACAUAGCCGACCUGAGAGGGUGAGAGGAGAAAUUGGGACUGAGACACGACCCAAAAUACUACGGGAGGCAGCAGUAGGGAAUCCUCGGCAAAGGAAGAAAGUCGGACCGAGCAACGACGCGUGAGAGAAGAAGGUUGUCGGAUCGUAAAAAUCAGUUGGUAGAGAAGAACGAUGGUGAGAGUGGAAAGCUAAGAAAGUGACGGUAACUAGACAGAAAGGGACGGCUAACUACGUG